rnacentral:lncRNA from 1 species
GGGUUUCCAAUUCUUAGGAAUACUUGAGUCCAAAUCUCUGCUGAAAAACUGCACGAGAUUAGAAGAUGAUCUCUUGUCUCUGGUUCAGUAGAGCAGAGGCAGCAGUGAGUUUGAAUUUGCAUUCCCCAUCCAACCAAACGAUGCUUUGUAGGAAGUCUGUCCAGAUUCGCAACCCACAUAUUAAAAGCAUGUUUUGGUAUUGCUCCCUUGAACCAAAUAGUUGCUGCCCAAGGUUUUGGAUCACUGCGAGGCCUUAUAACAUCCCAA